GUUACUUCACAGUCGUUCUUCACUGGCUAGCUUUAUGUGGCAGCACCUUAAAGCUGCCAGUUGAAGAGCUGUUGUGGGUAAC
ensembl:miRNA mir22b microRNA 22b